CGCGCGAGCAAGGAUUCCAUUGCGCCGGCGCCAUGUCGCGCUUAGAUUCGUCGCGGAUCUAGACUGAGCAUUUGAUUCUUGAUUUUCCCUUCCACUACAAAUCUAUAGAUGAAGAACACUGUGAGUCUAGAAAUCUAGAAACACAGUCUCCUUUCCUUUCCAUCCAGAUCACGAAACUAAUGGAUUUGAUUUAACACGAGGAGAUGACUGGAAAGCUCCACUGAUUGAAAGCUAUGGCGCCAGACAUAUGUCCCAUUGCUACAAUCCCCGCGAACCUCACUACAAAUCUCAGGUAGCCAUCUCGCAGCUCUCUAAGCUGCAAGACCAUCCAUUUCACUCGAGGACGCAUCACUUUGAGCCCCCAAACUCUCGUCCUUGUUCUUCCCAGCUUCACGUACCUCCUCCUCCUUUGCAUCUUUAGCUUCCUCCUCUCGUAAAGCCUCUCCCACUUCCUCCUCGCCAGCCUCCCACAUCUCUGGAUUCCACUGCAAAGCCGUCCCAGAACGCUCCUCCUCCGCCUCCACUGCUGCAUUCUCACGCUCGCCGGCGAUGAUCGACACGACAACGCACUCGACAAGCUCCUCGGGAGAAGGAGAAAUGGGAGCGCGGCCGAUCGAUCAUCCAGAAAGUCGUGGCAAAGAUCCAAUUUGAUUUGUUAAAAGUUGUGGGAGUCGCAGUCCCGCAAAAAAAAAUUUAUGAAUGCAUCACUUCCGCGACGCCAUCGCUCUCAA